UACGUAGGUGGCAAGCGUUAUCCGGAAUUAUUGGGCGUAAAGAGUGAGUAGGCGGUCGAUAAAGUCUGUAGUUAAAAGCAGUUGCCCAACAACUGUAUGCUUCAGAAACUAAUCAACUAGAGUGCAGGAGAGGUAAACGGAAUUCCAUGUGUAGCGGUGAAAUGCGUAGAUAUAUGGAGGAACACCAGUGGCGAAGGCGGUUUACUGGCCUGUAACUGACGCUCAGUCACGAAAGCGUGGGGAGCAAAUAGGAUUAGAUACCCUAGUAGUCCACGCCGUAAACAAUGAAUACUAAGUGUUGGAGGAAUCCAGUGCUGAAGUUAACACAUUAAGUAUUCCGCCUGAGAAGUACGUUCGCAAGAAUGAA
rnacentral:rRNA from 1 species